rnacentral:lncRNA from 1 species
AGAUCCGUUUUUACGGAUCUGGAUCCACGGAUCUGGACCGGGUCCAAGAUCCACUGCCAUCCCUAGGCUCAACUCGUCGUCUCGCCCCCCUCUCUCAAACUUCAACCCUCGCGCCCAUGCCGCCCCCCUCCCUGAGAAUACGCAAGCACGCAGAGAUUUCUCCGAUGCUGUAUACGACGUCGUCUCUCAGGGCCGGCGCUAGGAUUUCAACAGCAGCGAACUACCAGAUACAAACGGCGGCGAAACUUAGACUCUCUAAUUUCAACCUAUCCUGACAUGAAUUCAGCCUCGUCACUUGUCUAGCUUUGAUUGAAUCUUUAUCCAGGUUCGAUUAAAUUUUUGAAAUCUCCUUUCUCUGUGAUAGUUACUGAUGUUGUGAAUAUUUGAAAUCUUACUAGGCUGCGUUUACUUUGAUGGAUAAAUUUAUCAUGGAAAAUGAUGGAUAACACAAAUUUAUGCCUUUAAAUGUCUCCUUCCUUUUUCAACAUUUGACACAUAAAUAGAUGCUCACCAUUUUUCCUUCCUUAUUUUCACUUCAAGGAUAGAUAAUAUUAUCACACCAAAAUGGAGGAAUAAUAUUAUCCACUUUGAAGUGNAAAUAGAUGCUCACCAUUUUUCCUUCCUUAUUUUCACUUCAAGGAUAGAUAAUAUUAUCACACCAAAAUGGAGGAAUAAUAUUAUCCACUUUGAAGUGAAAAUAAGGAAAGAAAAAUGGUGAGCAUCUCUUUUUGUGUUAAUGUUGGAAAAGAAAAGAGAUAUUUAAAGGCAUAAAUUUGUGUUAUCCAUCCUUUUCCAUGGAUAAAUUUAUCCAUCAAAGUAAACGCAGCCUUAGGGUUUAUUGCUUGAAAAUUCAUAUUAAAGUUACGUGAAUUCUAAAUUUGAGAAUUUGCUUGAGAAAUGACUCUGUGAUUUUAACUCUAUGUCAGUUAUGUGCCUUGAUUAUUUGCUACUGUUAUCACACGGUUACUUUGAUUUAUGGAGGGUUAGGCAUUUGGGCACUGAUAAGGUUCAGAUUUGAUAAGUUACUGUUAAGGUUUUCUCAUUUUCUUUGUUUGCUACGAACUUUUUCUACCUUUUGAUAAUUGCCUAAUCACCCAGUAAUACAUUUUUUAUUUGUGAGACUGUGACAAUUCGAGUGGAAGUUGUAAUCAUCUGUUGGUUGUUGCUAAUUCGAAUUAGAUGUCCUUCUGGAUGAGUUUGUCCUCCAUGAUUCAAAUAUAAAGGCUUUCAGGUAAGCAUCAUCACCUUGAGAGAAUUCUUACCUCUACUUCACUUGUUGCACUAUGUGAUGAUGUGAUUAUUCUCCGUUUCGUGUGCUUUUAGGUUGCACCAGCGGAGCUAGAAGAGCUGCUUCUCACUCAUCCUGAAAUAAUGGAUGCUGCUGUUAUAGGGUGAGCAGCAAACACCCAAACCAUGUAUCUUAAAUGUGUUCUGCAAUCUGAUAAUCAAUGAGUUUGGCAGAAGUUAUGACCUUGGCUUCAUACAAUCUGAACUUUUUUCUUUUUGCUUCAUAUAGUUUGGGACAGCUUCUAGAGAAACGAUGAAUCUAAUGUAAGAGUUGAAAAAUCUGUAGAUUACUUGAUGGUUUUUCAUGUUGAUUAGGAUAGGUAGAUAUAUUUUGGUUUUUCUGCUAGUAGCUCUUCUUAAUGUCCAUUCUCAUUUGAUUUAAUUAUAUAUAUUAGUGACAACUAACAUAUCAUAUAAUGUUUGGCUACUCUAGGAUUCUUUCAUGUUUCAUGUUAAAUGCUUUUGAGUACCUUAACCUUCCAUUUACAUCCUCUAUAGAAGAUGUGAAAAGGCAAUAUCGUAAGGUGAACUUCUAUUUUUUUUUUUUUUUUUUAUGAAAUUGCUAAGUACAGGUUAAUUGCUAUAUGUGAGAAAUAAUUGCAGGUUUAUUGCUAUCUUUGCUCUUACAGUUAUCAUUGUUAUCUUUGCUCUUACAGUUAAAUGUGUUCAGUAUAUGGAGCAUAAUUUUGAAAUGUUCAAUACUUCUUUGUAGACUAUGUUAUGAGUAGUUUUGUGCUGGAGUUUUUUCAGAUUCAUACAAUUGUUUAUGUACUUAAUUUAUGAUUAAUUUGUCUCCAUCAAAGUCUGGUACAGUGCAUGGUGGUCCUUAUUAUAGAUAGUAAAGUAAUACAUACACAACACUUAAUCUUGGUUGGAGACUAUUUUCCCGGAUCAUCAUAUCAAUUUCCACUGCUAACAGUACUAACCUUGAUUUGGACCACAAGAUUCAUGCCAUUAUUGGUCAAACUCUAUACUGUAGCAUUAUUCCAUGUUACUAAUAUUGGUUACAUAAUAAGAAUCUUCCUCUAGCUACAACAUUUUUUUUUUAAUUUGAUUCCUUUCUUAAAUUGAACUUUUGUUUCUCUUAACAGGUUUAGCUAAAGCUCACAACUGUUACUCGAUCAGCAAGAGAGGGAUUAUAGGUUAAUGCUGCAAGAGGUAGAUUGAUUAGUUUAUUUUCACUCUUUGGUUACAUUAAUGUAAAGUUGUUAAUAUACUAGUUUUCUUUGACUUGUAGAUUGACAUGUUACAUGGAGAAGUUCUUGCCUGUUGAUAUGGCUUUCGAAAGUUUAUUGGAAAUAUUAUGAUGUGUGGGUAUUGUAUGUAAGAUUGUCAUUUGAAAGAUACUACUUUUUAGAUGUUCGUUGUGAUGUUGGGAGAUGUUGUAAAAGAAUGGAAUUCAUUUGUAGAUGUUGGAU